rnacentral:rRNA from 1 species
UGCGCAGGCGGCAUAGUAAGUCAGUGGUGAAAGCCCGGAGCUCAACUCCGGAACUGCCAUUGAUACUGCUAAGCUUGAGUACGGUUGAAGUGGGCGGAAUGUGACAUGUAGCGGUGAAAUGCUUAGAUAUGUCACGGAACACCAAUUGCGAAGGCAGCUCACUAAACCGUUACUGACGCUGAGGCACGAAAGCGUGGGUAGCGAACAGGAUUAGAUACCCUGGUAGUCC